GACCUCCGCCCACAACCAGCGGAUGUCCUCCUCUUGCCGCUCCAGGCGCGAAGCCACGGCCUCGGCCGCCAGGGCCUCGGCCGCCAUGGCGCCGGCCCCUGUCAACGACCAGCAGGGCACUGAGUGGCUCCUGGAUAUAAAGAAGAAUUACGAUCCUACCACGUCUCCUCAACGUUGUAACAAAAAGACAUUGAAUAAAAUGACAUUAUUGUCAUUUUACAGACUGCCAUACAUUCUGUUCAAAUCUGCUGAGAACCUAAAAACUGCUCCAAAAUAUAAAGCCUCUCUUAAAGAGAAAAAAAGAAAAAGAGAAAGAGGUGGCCUGAGAGACUGCAAACUACCACGAGAUGGCACCAUUUCCCUCAGAAGUUUCAAUGUGGGCCCUGAUUAACCGUAAUCACCGGUGCUGAAGGAAGUAGUGGGGAUUCUGUGUUUGUCCUCCAGGUCUCCAGGAGGCUCAGAGUGCCGCACGAUCUUGUCACAGCCCAGCCCCAGAACAAAGCCAUAGGAUCUUAUGAGCUGCAGAAGCAAAAGCAAGAGUUGGAGCUCAGCCCGGACCUCGCUCUGCCCUUGGGACAG